rnacentral:rRNA from 1 species
CAGAGGGUGCAAACGUUGUUCGGAAUUACUGGGCGUAAAGCGCGUGCAGGCGGCCUUGCAAGUCGGACGUGAAAUCCCACGGCUCAACCGUGGAAGUGCAUUCGAAACUGCGAGGCUGGAGUCCUGGAGAGGAAAGUGGAAUAUUCGGUGUAGAGGUGAAAUUCGUAGAUAUCGAGUGGAACACCGGUGGCGAAGGCGGCUUUCUGGACAGGUACUGACGCUGAGACGCGAAAGCGUGGGGAGCAAACAGGAUUAGAUACCCUGGUAGUCCACGCCGUAAACGAUGAGUGCUAGGUGUCACGGGCUUUGACCCUCGUGGUGCCGAAGCUAACGCGUUAAGCACUCCGCCUGGGGAGUACGGCCGCAAGGCUA